AUUUUAAAAUCAAAGUAAUAACUACUACACCCUAAACUGUCCUUUAAACGGGUCUUUCCAUUUAGUUAUUGUAUCAGAUUUUACAAUCCCUUAAGAAGCUGGUUUGAUCUUUACAAUAUCUGUAAUUAUCUAAUCAGAGCCUCACCUAGACUUAUAUUGUUCUUAUAAGUGAAGUGUGUCAUUUGUGUCAGUCAAACAGACUCAUGCCCGUGACUAAGCAACCAGUGCCGGGUUUUAUAUAUAUAUCUAUAUGUUUAAAUUCCAUUUCCCUUCCGGAACACAGCUAUUGCACUCUAUUACAUUUACACUAUUAAAACAAAAAGCAUUAUGAAUUUCUUUGAUUUUUCUUUUAAAUGUUUAAUUCUGCUUCAAGUUCAGUUUCCAACUGUUGUUUUCUACCUCAAUUAAAAUGAAUUUAGUUCUCAGUUCAAUUCUGAAUGGCACACAGCCCAUGCAUAAAACACUUUUUUCCUUAAUGAUGUCCCCAAAAUUAGGUUUUGAAUCAGAUUUAGUUUACUUCCGGGGAAGUUUUAUGUAGGUCCAACACACAGACACACACAUACGCAGGAGCAUAAGCGGCCCGUUACAGUCUAGAUGACUUCUGUAGGUGUCAGAUGUGGAGAGUGUGUUGAUGGACAUGAGGACUGUACAGGUGUGUGAGAGUUCAGACUCUGCAGGACAGGGCACAGGUUCAGCCAGCGGUCAGCACACACACUCCUCAGAGAUAGAGCAGCUGAACCUGCAGACGGCUCACAUCAGAACACUGAUCUGGUGAGAGAUUUAGAGGGAGCCAUACUGCAGCUGCAGUCCAAGUGUGAGAAACUACCACAGAACAUCCAACCACCUGAUGGAGGAACACAGCAAGAAACAAACACACAUCGACGUGAGUAAACACAGAGCCUCAUAAGACUUCAUUUACUUUCAUCCCUUACUUAGCUUGUGGUUUUUCCAGCAUCUGUUCAAGAUAGUGGAAGAACUGGAUGAAAAGAAAGCUGACAAGCAAGUGGUGGAAAUGGAGAUUGAAAUCGUGAGUUGUUUCUGUAUACAA
rnacentral:lncRNA from 1 species